UACGGAGGGGGCUAGCGUUGUUCGGAAUUACUGGGCGUAAAGCGCGCGUAGGCGGACCUGCAAGUCGGGGGUGAAAGCCCGAGGCUCAACCUCGGAACUGCCUUCGAUACUGCGGGUCUCGAGUCCGGGAGAGGUGAGUGGAAUUCCUAGUGUAGAGGUGAAAUUCGUAGAUAUUAGGAAGAACACCAGUGGCGAAGGCGGGCUACUGGGCCGAUACUGACGCUGAGGCGCGAAAGCCAGGGGAGCAAACGGG
rnacentral:rRNA from 1 species